CGCUGGCGGCAUGCCUAACACAUGCAAGUCGAACGAGACCUUCGGGUCUAGUGGCGCACGGGUGCGUAACGCGUGGGAAUCUGCCCUGGGGUGCGGAAUAACUCGGAGAAAUCCGUGCUAAUACCGCAUAAUGUCUUCGGACCAAAGAUUUAUCGCCCUGGGAUGAGCCCGCGUAGGAUUAGCUAGUUGGUGGGGUAAAGGCCUACCAAGGCGACGAUCCUUAGCUGGUCUGAGAGGAUGAUCAGCCACACUGGGACUGAGACACGGCCCAGACUCCUACGGGAGGCAGCAGUGGGGAAUAUUGGACAAUGGGCGAAAGCCUGAUCCAGCAAUGCCGCGUGAGUGAUGAAGGCCCUAGGGUUGUAAAGCUCUUUUACCCGGGAUGAUAAUGACAGUACCGGGAGAAUAAGCUCCGGCUAACUCCGUG
rnacentral:rRNA from 1 species